rnacentral:sRNA from 1 species
GUGUGCGAGUGUGUGUGCGCCGGGCGGGCGGGCACUGCAGCUUCUUCCUCCGUGGAGCGGAGAGCGAGAGAGAGCUACAGCGAACGAGAGAGCGGCGAAGGCGGGUAGAGGGGCGCGGGCGAGGCGGCGCAGCCAUCCCCGGACCAGGGGCCGCGCCGCCACCAUGCUAAACAACCUGACGGACUGCGAGGACGGCGAUGGGGGAGCCAACCCGGGUGAUGGCAACCCCAAGGAAAGCAGUCCCUUCAUCAACAGCACUGACACAGAGAAGGGAAAGGAGUAUGACGGCAAGAACAUGGCCUUGUUUGAGGAGGAGAUGGACACCAGCCCUAUGGUGUCCUCCUUGCUCAGUGGCCUGGCCAACUACACCAACCUGCCCCAGGGAAGUAGGGAGCAUGAAGAGGCAGAAAACAAUGAGGGUGGAAAAAAGAAGCCGGUGCAGGCCCCACGCAUGGGCACCUUCAUGGGCGUGUACCUGCCGUGCCUGCAGAACAUCUUUGGCGUCAUCCUCUUCCUGCGGCUCACCUGGGUGGUGGGCAUUGCAGGCAUCAUGGAGUCCUUCUGCAUGGUGUUCAUCUGCUGCUCCUGUACGAUGCUCACGGCCAUCUCCAUGAGUGCAAUUGCAACGAAUGGUGUUGUGCCUGGCUUACCUCUUCCCAGCCAUGGCCAUCUUCAAGGCAGAAGAUGCCAGUGGGGAGGCAGCAGCCAUGCUGAACAACAUGCGUGUUUACGGCACCUGUGUGCUCACCUGCAUGGCCACUGUGGUGUUUGUGGGUGUCAAGUAUGUCAACAAGUUUGCCCUUGUCUUCCUGGGUUGUGUCAUCCUCUCCAUCCUGGCCAUCUAUGCUGGGGUCAUCAAGUCUGCCUUCGACCCACCCAACUUCCCGUGAGUGCUGCUGCUCUGAGCCCAAGGAAUCGUCCUCCUACCUCCCUGGCCCUGUUUCAGAGUCUCUGCCAAACUCCCCCUCCCUGCCCCUCAGAAUCUCAGAGUGGUGUGGGUUGGGAGUAGCUUCCCUUGGGAGGGAAAAUCUCUCUUAGUUUGGGGGCAAUCUCUUCAGAGUGAGGUAACUUUUCUGGAGGAGGGAACAAUUUACCUUGUAAGAGUCAACUUCUUGCUGGUAGGGUGGACUUAGGAAGAAUUAAGUGGGAAUGAGUUCCAAAGCAAUGAAUGCUGUCUGUGGUAGGGAAACCUUUCCUGGGUGGGGACAACCUCCUGGAAUGGGACAAUCUCCUAGUGUUGGACAACUCCUCCAGGAUGGGAAAAGACACAGAAGUCUAGAGGGUCCAGGGACUCAGAUCCAAGUCCACUCCAUCCACUGCUCAGAGGUGGAGGGCGGCCCCCGAGACCGCUGUCCACGGUGCUGAAACACAGCAUUGCACUAAUGCGGUGCUUCUCCACCUUGGCGGCUUAUUAGAAUCACUUGGGGAGCUUAAGAAAAAAAAAAAAAAAAGCCAAU